rnacentral:rRNA from 1 species
CCUACGGGCGGCAGCAGUGGGGAAUAUUGCACAAUGGGGGAAACCCUGAUGCAGCAACGCCGCGUGAGUGAAGAAGGCUUUCGGAUUGUAAAACUCUGUUAGCAGGGAAGAGGAAGGACGGUACCUGCAGAGGAAGCAACGGCUAACUACGUGCAAGCAGCCGGGGUAAGACGUAGGUGGGAAGCGUUGUCAGGAAUAACUGGGAGGAAGGGAUGGGUAGGCGGUUAAACAAGUUAUAUGGUAAAUAUAUAGGCUUAACCUGUAGAAAGCAGAUAAAACUGUCUAAGUAGAGUGCAGGAGAGGUAAGUGUAAUUCCUGGUGUAGCGGUGAAAUGCGUAGAGAUUAGGAAGAACACCAGUGGCGAAGGCGACUUUCUGGACUGUAACUGACGCUGAGGCAUGAGAGCAUGGGGAGCAAACAGGAUUAGAUACCCCUGUAGUC